GCACUUGUUGAUUCGCUGGCUAGCGCACUCGGCUACGCACCGCGCGGUCACAGGUUAGAAUCCUGUCGAGUGCACCA
rnacentral:tRNA from 1 species